rnacentral:rRNA from 1 species
AUACGGAGGGGGCUAGCGUUGUUCGGAAUUACUGGGCGUAAAGCGCGCGUAGGCGGCUUAUCAAGUUAGGCGUGAAAGGCCUGGGCUCAACCCGGGAACUGCGCUUAAUACUGGUAGACUUGAGUCCGGGAGAGGGUGGCGGAAUUCCCAGUGUAGAGGUGAAAUUCGUAGAUAUUGGGAAGAACACCAGUGGCGAAGGCGGUCACCUGGCCCGGUACUGACGCUGAGGUGCGAAAGCGUGGGGAGCAAACAGGAUUAGAAACCCCAGUAGUCC